UGGGCUUGACAUGCGGGGUGAAACCGUAGAGAUACGGCGCUCCUCGGAGCCCGCACAGGUGGUGCAUGGCUGUCGUCAGCUCGUGCCGUGAGGUGUUGCCUUAAGUGGCGCAACGAGCGCAACCCCUGUCCUUAGUUGCCAGCGGGUAAAGCCGGGAACUCUAGGGAGACUGCCGGUGCCAAACCGGAGGAAGGUGGGGAUGACGUACUUGCUAGGUAA
rnacentral:misc_RNA from 1 species